UACGGAGGGUGCAAGCGUUAAUCGGAAUUACUGGGCGUAAAGCGCACGUAGGCGGUUCGAUAAGUCGGGUGUGAAAGCCCCGGGCUUAACCUGGGAAUUGCAUUCGAUACUGUCGAGCUAGAGUGUGGAAGAGGGAAGUGGAAUUCCAGGUGUAGCGGUGAAAUGCGUAGAUAUCUGGAGGAGCAUCAGUGGCGAAGGCGACUUCCUGGUCCAACACUGACGCUGAGGUGCGAAAGCGUGGGGAGCAAACAGG
rnacentral:rRNA from 1 species